rnacentral:rRNA from 1 species
CGUGUAGGCGGCCAGGUAGGUCGGUUGUGAAAAUUGGAGGCUCAACCUCCAGACGUCGAUCGAAACCAUCUGGCUAGAGUCCGGAAGAGGAGAAUGGAAUUCCUGGUGUAGCGGUGAAAUGCGCAGAUAUCAGGAAGAACACCGAUGGCGAAGGCAGUUCUCUGGGACGGUACUGACGCUGAGACGCGAAAGCGUGGGUAGCGAACA